UGGGAAAGGCCUCAAGCCCAUCCUGACU
rnacentral:piRNA from 1 species